UACGGAGGGUGCGAGCGUUGUCCGGAAUCACUGGGCGUAAAGGGCGCGUAGGUGGCCUGUGGAAGUCUGCGGUGAAAGCCCGGCGCUCAACGCCGGGUCGGCCGUGGAUACUCUCGGGCUCGAGCUUACUAGAGGCAGAUGGAAUCCGGGUGUAGCGGUGGAAUGCGUAGAGAUCCGGAAGAACACCGGUGGCGAAGGCGGCCCACUGGGCGUGUCGACUGACGCUGGAGGCGCGAAA
rnacentral:rRNA from 1 species